GAGUUUGAUCAUGGCUCAGAUUGAACGCUGGCGGCAUGCCUUACACAUGCAAGUCGAACGGCAGCACGGGAGCUUGCUCCUGGUGGCGAGUGGCGAACGGGUGAGUAAUGCAUCGGAACGUAUCCUGGAGUGGGGGAUAACGUAGCGAAAGUUACGCUAAUACCGCAUAUUCUGUGAGCAGGAAAGCGGGGGACCUUCGGGCCUCGCGCUCUUGGAGCGGUCGAUGUCGGAUUAGCUAGUUGGUGAGGUAAAGGCUCACCAAGGCGACGAUCCGUAGCAGGUCUGAGAGGAUGAUCUGCCACACUGGAACUGAGACACGGUCCAGACUCCUACGGGAGGCAGCAGUGGGGAAUUUUGGACAAUGGGGGCAACCCUGAUCCAGCCAUGCCGCGUGAGUGAAGAAGGCCUCGG
rnacentral:rRNA from 1 species